CCUUCGAUAGCUCAGCUGGUAGAGCGGAGGACUGUAGGUGUUGCACUGCUGUCAUCCUUAGGUCGCUGGUUCGACUCCGGCUCGAAGGA
rnacentral:tRNA from 1 species